UACGUAGGUGGCGAGCGUUGUCCGGAUUUACUGGGCGUAAAGAGCGCGCAGGCGGUCGUUCAAGUCGCGUGUGAAAGCCCCCGGCUCAACUGGGGAGGGUCACGCGAUACUGAUCGACUCGAAGGCAGGAGAGGGUAGUGGAAUUCCCGGUGUAGUGGUGAAAUGCGUAGAUAUCGGGAGGAACACCAGUGGCGAAGGCGAGUCCCUGGACAACUUCUGACGCUGAGGCACGAAAGCUAGGGGAGCAAACAGG
rnacentral:rRNA from 1 species